CAUAUAAUCCCUCCGUCUAGAAAUACUUGUCGGAGAAAUUGAUGUAUCUAGACAUAUUUUAGUUCUAGAUACAUCCAUUUUUAUCCAUUUCUCCGACAAGUAUUUCCAUACGGAGGUUGUAGUUA
rfam:Triticum aestivum genome assembly, contig: Triticum_aestivum_CS42_TGACv1_scaffold_320280_4BL